UACGUAGGGCGCAAGCGUUGUCCGGAAUUAUUGGGCGUAAAGAGCUCGUAGGCGGCUUGUCACGUCGGGUGUGAAAGCCCGGGGCUUAACCCCGGGUCUGCAUUCGAUACGGGCUAGCUAGAGUGUGGUAGGGGAGAUCGGAAUUCCAGGUGUAGCGGUGAAAUGCGUAGAUAUCUGGAGGAACACCGGUGGCGAAGGCGGCAUCCUGGACCAAUACUGACGCUGAGGAGCGAAAGCCAGGGGAGCAAACGGG
rnacentral:rRNA from 1 species